GACGAACGCUGGCGGCGUGCUUAACACAUGCAAGUCGAACGGAAAGGCCCUGCUUGCAGGGUACUCGAGUGGCGAACGGGUGAGUAACACGUGGGUGAUCUGCCCUGCACUUCGGGAUAAGCCUGGGAAACUGGGUCUAAUACCGGAUAGGAGCCAUUUUUAGUGUGAUGGUUGGAAAGUUUUUUCGGUGUAGGAUGAGAUCGCGGCCUAUCAGCUUGUUGGUGGGGUAAUGGCCUACCAAGGCGGCGACGGGUAGCCGGCCUGAGAGGGUGGACGGCCACAUUGGGACUGAGAGACGGCCCAGACUCCUACGGGAGGCAGCAGUGGGGAAUAUUGCAGGAUGGGCGCAAGCCUGAUGCAGCGACGCCGCGUGGGGGAUGACGGCCUUCGGGUUGUAAACUCCUUUCGCUAGGGACGAAGCUUUUUGUGACGGUACCUAGAUAAGAAGCACCGGCUAACUACGUG
rnacentral:rRNA from 1 species